UGAAGGUCUGAUUGGUGCAGCCUCCUGGAAAGCCCAUUGGCCCCCCAAUCCCCACAGCCGCCCGCCCGCACCUCUCCCGCCUCCGGUCCUCCCUUCUCUCAGCCGCCACCCCACGAACCCUAGCCGUGCCCUCCUGCAUCUGUCCUCCUCCCCCUUCCUGGUCCGUCCCAAGCCCCUCCUCGUCUCAUGAGCUAGCCGAGGAAAAGAGGGGUGACGCGACGACCUGGUCGUCGGCCGGUGGGGAGCCUCGUAGAGGCGGUGGCGGAGACGACCCUAGAUGGUGCCCCGGCCAGGAUCUGGACAGGGUGCCUCAACCUCGUCUUCCUCUUCCACCUACUCGCUGAUAGAGACGGCAGCAGCGGUGGGAGGAGCCUAGGCGUAGAGGAGGGAAGUGGACGAGGGGGGUGCAAAGGCAGGAGAUGGGGGUCGCCGGAUGAGCACAGUCGCACAGGGCCUGAUCCCGCCGCUGCUAGAGCAGAGUGGAGGACCACAGGGCCCGAUGGGGUGGCUGGGAGCGUGCGGCAUCUGGCUCCCAAGCAGGGAAUGCAGUGGUGCUGGCCUCUCCUCUCCCUGCGCCUUUGUCCUGCGUCAUCACUACCGCCACGGCCUUGCUCGCCAUUGACCUCCCCAAGUGCUUCUCUCCACAAAUGGUGCCGCCAUGUCCAGAUCAAUUCAAGCGCCAGGAAAGUACAACACGUGCAUAACUUGUUUGAGGAAAUUCCAUCUGGAAGCAAUAUUUGAUCAUGACUUGUCUUCUUGAUGCUUCAUCUGCGGCUAGCUGACUACAACAUCACAUAUGUAAAGGGAAACCAUCGUAAGAAACACAGGUAAAAAGGCAUUUUCCUUGUUCUUAUAGUUUUGGAUCAAAGUUCACAUUUUACCUUGAGUGACUCUUUUUUUGUUAUAGAAUGGAUUCAACAAUAAUCAAUAAGGAAGUGCAAACUGAGAGGGGUGGGAAAAAUAACCUAAGUAAAGAGCUAAUAUGAAAUGCUACUUUCCAGUGAUUUGUUGUGACCUGUUAAUUUUUUAGUAUGGAGCUUGAAGUUUUAAUGCAGAUAGGAAGUUUCAUUUUAUUCUUAUCCACAUGCUUACUAAAUUUACAUUUUUAUUUCAUUUCUGGAAAGAGGCAACCUUAAAUAAUUUAGAGGACUCUUCAGAUUAUAAGAGAAAAGCCAUAUAGGUCAUAAAUGCAUAGGCAUUCCAAAAAAAGGCACAAAAAUUGAGCUAGAAGGUAUGUAUAAAUUCAUGUGAAACUGAGACAUAGGCAAGCAUACAUAGGAAUUUUGCAGGAUCAUUCCUACGAUCUGGAGGGCCAUUAUAGCCAGAUUUACCUAACGUCUCUAAGAAAAUCUUUUGAAACUCGGACCAUCCAGAUAUAUCAACAUGGAAAAGCCUGCUGAAAGAAACUUUUGUAGCUGAAGAUGCUUGAUUAUACUUCCUAUGGGCUUGUUUUGAAAAGAAUUUUUCCUGGCAUGCCAUAUGUGAGCCCCCAACCAUCUCUCUCUCUCCCGCACUCAUUUUCUCUCUCUCACGUUUUGCCUUUGAGGCUGUAGAUCUAAGCACUAGCUGUUUGUAAAAAUGCUCAAGGUGGGCUGCUUAGAGGAGGGCAGUAUGUUCUACAGUUUCAGUUAUAUGAUUACAUACAACUAAACAAAAGUUUACAUGAUUCUAUAAUUAUUGUUGGAGAUUUUUACUCACAGUAAAUUUCUUCAAAGGAUCUGUUUAAAGACAACAGGCAUAUAUUUGUACAGAGAUCAUAUUAUUUUGAUACCCAUAUGAAGUUGGUGGUUCAUGGAGACCCAAGGUGCACUGACAGAAGAUAUCAGAGGAGCAGAGGAAAAUGCAAGUGUGUAUGUGUGAAAAAUUAUUGCUUUAACUCAAGAUCAGUUGUUCGUUCUUUCAAGCGCUAUGUUGCUUACUCAAAUGUUUGUGGCGAUUGUAUCCUUGUGCCAUGAAUAUUUUUACUCAGCAGAUCAAUAUAAACAUAUUGGCUAUCUAUUUACCAAUUCUGAAUUUAAAGCACUUUAUUUUAUGGCCUUGAGUAAAAGUUCAGUCAUUGUUGGCUGGAAGACAUCUUCAAUACGCCGUCAACACGAGCUUACCAAGGUAAUGAUCUAUUUAUUAUCAGCCCAUAUCUGGUUUGUAACAGGGUUAUUAUGUUUCAAAAUCCUCUGGCAUCAGAAAGGAGAUUUUGUGGAUGAUGUAAGAUAUCCACAUGUUGUAUAUGUGGAAAAACCAAAGGCUCGGGAUGUUGAUUUUUCGGAUGAAAUGAUUUAUCAGGCAAAAACUACAAGUGAAAUGGAAGAAGUAACGCUCAAAAGCCUGAAUAGAAUUCCUUGGCAAAGGGUAGAUGUUAGCUUCAAGAGAAGUAGACAAUGGAUUUUUGCCCAUAGCACCAUUCAGGUCCAGUUGUCGUUGCCUUCACUUGCUUUGUCGUUUACCCAUCUGUCAGCUCGCCGAUCCCCUGACUUGCUGUCAAGAUUCUAGGAUAUUAACAUUUGCAGCCAUACAUUGGUUUCAAUGGUGACAGAUUUCUGUCAAUCCC